ensembl:lncRNA
AGAGCGAUAAAAUUUCAUGGUAGCAUGGAGAAAGAUGAGCAGUGGGAGUUAAGAUUGAACAAGGCAGUCAAACAGAUCUGUAUGUAAAUGCUUCUGAGUUACAGCAGUACCCCUUUCCCUUCUCCUGGCAUCUCAAGAUUCCUUGUUUCUUUACACGUUUUCAAGAGAGGUUGGACGAAGUCACCCAAAGCCCCCCUCUGGAAGAAGCAGGGCAGUUGUUGCUUCUUGAGGCAUCUCUGUGACUGUGCUGCUGUGGAAACUAAAAGAGGGGCAUCUUUGGCAAGGCUGGAAGGAAGGAUUACCAGAUAAAGGAAAUCAUAAAAAAAAAAUAUAUUGAGAAAAUGGAAGGGAAAGCAAAGAGUCUGGUAACGUUUUCUCAAAUCCCCUUUCUUUGCAGCAACGUAAUCCUCACAAAUGAAUCGGAGCAUGUAUUUGCUCAAAAGAGUUAAUCUUUAUUAACAGCCCCAGAAUGCCCUUCAGCUCAUGUACAACCUGGUUCAAAGGUUUUCAAGAAAAACAACAUACCAUAAACCAAAGGGCAGCACUAAUUGGAAGCAAUGUAAUGUCUUUGAAAACAGUAAUAGCCUCCUGUGGGUUAAUAAGCGGAAAUUAAAUUUCAUGUAUGUUAGCAUAACCCAUCACAAAGCACCAGGUGAAGCAAGGGGCACAGGCAGUAAGGAUGGGGUUUGCAGUGCACGCAGUCACUGUCUUACAGUAACCCCUAUUCCUUGGACAAAGUUGGAAUUUCCAAAGCAUUCGCCUUCAGCCUGGUUGAAGGAAACAUUUUGCACAAUGUGGCCCCCAUUUCUGCUUUGGUGGUGAGAUGAGAGUGGACGAACUUUGAAGAGGAGGAACGUGAGUUUGGCAGCCCCUCAAAGCAAUCUUGGUGUCACUCUGCCUUUGUCCUGGCACGUGGAGCCCAAGCGGUGACACAGCAUUGCUGUGACUUUGACUUGGGCCUGCAGUUUGCUGUUGUCCAAUUCCAGUGCUCAGAGCUCACUGCUGACCUUCAGGGCUUGCCUUCUGUGCUGGAUAUGCAAGUGAAAGACUAGUCCUACAAAUGGGUAGUUUCAAUGUUAAAGUGUCGUGAAAUACAGCAGAUAGAAAUGCUGGGAACGAGUUGGCUAAUGGUGGCAUUGCCUGAAAUGGAGACGGCUAAUAUUUGGACUGCAGGGUGUGUGUCUCUUACAAGGAAAUGGCUUAAUCUGGAAAAGGAGGCAGAAACACAAGGUCAGAUCCUCGCUCCUCUGCCCUCAUUUCUUCUUCUUGCUGUGCUGGCUGCUCAGAAUCUGCUAAGGAAUCAAGAAGUGAGUGUCUUUGAGGUUGCAGAACCAAGGUGAGGCAGGGGAGUUCUGCACAGACCUACAUCUUCAGCACACCUCCUCCAGAACUCCUGUGUGUACUUCUCAUGAUCCCAAAUGAGUUUCCUUAUCUUCAGCACUACCGUUUGGAGCUCAGGUGCGUGGCUGAAUCACUUCAGCUGAACAAACUGUAUCUGCUGAACAGCAGCAAAGAUUUGGGUGUGCUGUCAGCCCAACACUGAUGUCUGAUUUCUGUGAAAGCAGUGCAAAGCACUUAAGUAAGUAGACACAUUUAAGAAAGCAUAUGUGAUCUGUUAGAGCCACCAGCAAAGGGGGUAAAGCUGAGUCCAAGUAGGUCUGACUGGUGAUUUAGUAUCACAGAAUCUUUUGAGUUGGAAGGGGCCGUUAAAGGCCAUCUGUUCCAACUCCUCUACAAUGAACAGGGAUAUCUACAGCUCAGUCAGUGUGCUCAGAGCACCAUCUAGCCUGAAUGAUGUUGAAGGAUGUUGCCAUCAUCAUACAUCUGCCCAUCGUGAGUGGGCUGGAGUAAAAAACAUGUUCUGGGGUUGCUCUUAAAAUCUUGGUUGUGGUGAUAGAAAGACAGUGUAGGAACUUAGUGUGCCAUGAUAGCUCUGCCUUAUGUGUGUUGAACACCCCAUGCUCAUCAGGCACAUAUCAUUGUGCUACCCUACUUCCAUUGGUGACCUAGAACUGUGAACUGUCCCCCCUGAACCUCAACCAGACACAGGACUAUGAGGCUCAUCCAGCUGGAAGGUGCUGUCUUUCCCUUUGCUGAAGAUUGAUAUCAUUCCUUUUUUCCCUGCUGGGACCCGGGCUCCCGUUAUCACAGGGAAGGUAACAUGGGAUGGACCGAAGGCAGGCAGUGCUGAGUGAGCUUUGCCAGGUAUCCCACUGGCUCUGCCAAAGUGCUCGGGGCUUUCCUCCAAAUCUUUCCACCACAGGAGAAAUGUGUCUUCUGCUGCCAAGGGUCUGGGAAUGCCACUUAACUUGGAGAAAGCAUGCACUGCAGCAUGACAGCCACUUCAGUCAGUCCAGGAACGCUCUGUGAAAGCAAAACAGUAUGUGCUCCAUGCCAGAACUGUCCUCACUAGCAAUGGAACACAUCAGAUGUCUGGUGGGUCCAGGGAACCUUUCUCAGUAAGACCAUGAGGAAAUGGGAGCCAUGAGUUACACGGUAGAGUCUUCUGUAGUUAAAGGUAUGUUGGCUAAAUAUAGGUCACAUUCCUGUAGCACUUCUAACGAUAAAUGCUGUACAAGCUAUACCCAAAUCUAGUUUCUUUCCUUAUAAAGAGCUCCUCCUAGAUCCAAAGAUAUCUGACCCACUCACAUCCUGGAUCUUUUUGUUUGUCUUUCAGCAGAUGAAUAAUGAUGGGUGCUUUAUUUUCUCAGAUGUCACUUAAAAUGACACCAUUCUUUUGACCUAUCUUAUCAUAGUAUCAUAGUAUCACAGAAUCAUAGAAUCACAGAAUCAUAGAAUGGCCUGGGUUGAAAAGGACCACAAUGAUCAU